rnacentral:rRNA from 1 species
UACAGAGGGUGCGAGCGUUUGUCCGGAAUCACUGGGCGUAAAGGGCGCGUAGGUGGCGACCCAAGUCGAUGGUGAAAGCUCGCCGCUCAACGGCGAGUCGGCCACCGAUACUGGGUUGCUGGAGCACUGUAGAGGCAGAUGGAAUUCCGGGUGUAGCGGUGGAAUGCGUAGAGAUCCGGAAGAACACCGGUGGCGAAGGCAGGUCUCUGGGCAUUAACUGACGCUGAGGAGCGAAAAAGCUGGGGGGAGCGAACAGGAUU